rnacentral:sRNA from 12 species
ACAGAGUUGAUGCGUCCCCUGUGGAUUGCCCGGCGGGCAUAGCAGCGAAAAUCCGGGCUGAAAAGGCCGGAUGGCGAAGC